AGAUUUUCGGCGGGAGAAUACUUCUUUUUCAGAUUUAUGUGGGAUGAAAUGUUCCGAAGAAUUCCAGAAUUAGUUUCUCAGUAGAAUUUAUGUGGUUCAAUAUUUCCAGAUGAAAUAAUUAAGGUGGAAAUAAACAAAUCAGAGUUCAUCAGUAUACUGAGAAGAUGACAUUAUUGAAAAAAUUUGCAGCUUUGUUACUCCCAGUUCAACUAAUCUCGAAAAUUAAGACAAAACAAAAUAGCAGCAACAUUUUUGAACCUUCAAAUUUUUCUGAAAAAAAAAAUAUCGACACACCAACAUAAAAUUCAGUGUCCAACACCAUGAAAUGCAAACCACACAGGUAAAAUAUCAUAAGAUUAUCCGGAAGAAGUUGGCUCCCAAUAGUGGAGAGGAACAAAUUCUGCUGUUAUUUAGUGCCAAUCAGUUCUGGUGCCCUUUUGAUUCUUUCUUGAGAAUGGUUUUUCUUCAAAAGGGACUCUUGCUGAUAUCUUGACAACUAGUUAAGUAUUAAAAAAGUAUGAUGGUGGCACUUUCUCAACUCAUUUAUUGAACAUAAAUUUUCCAAAGUUGUUGUCUUAAAGUAAAGUCCUCCGUAAAGCAUGAGCUGAAAUUCGCUUUAGCUGUAAUAAAACAGUAACAUGAGGGUGUAAUUAAAGCUUCUGAAAACAUUGUUGAUGUCUUCCCAAUGAACGCUUAAUUAAGUGCAUGCAUAAACAAUUUUGUUAGUUUAUGAAUUGGUUGGAACUCAAACAAUUUACCAUUCCCCAUUUCGAGUGUGUGAUGUACAAAUUCUAGUUUAGUCGUUUCCAUAAGAAAGUUCUCUAAAAUAGGUUAAUUUGAAAAUCUGUAGUAGCAUCUUCCAGCUGGUAGUGACUUUUUCAAGAGUUGCUGUUUUAAUAGUUGUAAUAUUUUCAUUCUUAUUAGCUUCAACUCAACUUCACAAUUGACAGGAUUUGUUGGGAAAAACUACAUACAAAAAUCUAACGCAGGAUUCAUCAUUUUGCACCAUGCCAAUUAGCUGUGCUUAAAUUUUUUAUCGCUGUAAACUGCAUCUAAUUUGAAAUUAGUCACUUCUAAGCCCCCCUCAUAGGUCAAAUAGGCCAGACCAAACACUAAAUGUAGGCAA